UUAAAUUAGGUAGCUUCUCCAAUGUUGUCAUAGGAUCAACAACAAAUCCACAACCUUGCAACUUAAGCUUAGCAAGUUUUGAUGAAAUUUGAUUUGGUUGUGGAAAAUUCACUAUAGGUCCUUCAAUGUGUAGCUUGUAAAGAUUAGGACACCCUACAAAAACUUCAAGGAUUGAUGUAUCUUCAGAACUAACAAAAAACAAUGACUCAAGGGAAAUUAACCAAUGUUUGCAAGUUUUUCAGAUUUGCUAGGUUCCAUGUUUCAAUGCCAUUGCCACAUGAUUCAGUUUACAAGAUUGCCACUGAACCGUACCGCAAGAGACCGGUUUCGCUCCUUACCCACCUCGAGCAACUUGUCCACUUAUCAGUGAACUAUUGGCCAAACUCAGCAGAAAUCACAAUUGGUAA